UCUGGUUGAUCCUGCCAGUAGUCAUAUGCUUGUCUCAAAGAUUAAGCCAUGCAUGUCUAAGUAUAAAUAGUAUACAGUGAAACUGCGAAUGGCUCAUUAAAACAGUUAUAGUUUAUUUGAUAAUUGACAAUUACAUGGAUAACCGUGGUAAUUCUAGAGCUAAUACAUGCUUAAACGCCCGACUUUAUGGAAGGGUGGUAUUUAUUAGACUGAAGCCAAUAUUCCUUGUGUCUAUUGCGGUGAUUCAUAAUAACUGAUCGAAUCUCUUUUUGAGAUAAAUCAUUCAAGUUUCUGCCCUAUCAGCUUUCGAUGGUAGUGUAUUGGACUACCAUGGCAGUAACGGGUAACGAAGAAUUAGGGUUCGAUUUCGGAGAGGGAGCAUGAGAAACGGCUACCACAUCUAAGGAAGGCAGCAGGCGCGUAAAUUACCCAAUCCUGACUCAGGGAGGUAGUGACAAGAAAUAGCAAACCGGGAACCUCAUGGUUUCACGGUAUUGCAAUGAGAACAAUUUAAAACCCUUAGCGAGAAUCAAGUGGAGGACAAGUCUGGUGCCGGCACCCGCGGUAAUUCCAGCUCCACUAGCGUAUAUUAAAGUUGUUGCAGUUAAAAAGCUCGUAGUUGAACCUCUGUCUGGGGUUAGUUUUGGCUCUGGUCAGGCUAGUUCUAGGCAUCCGCCUACAAGACUUAGAGGGCAUUCAGUUGUUCACUAGGAGGAGUAGGCAUUUUACUUUGAAAAAAUUAGAGUGUUUAAGGCAGGCAAACGCCCGCAUAUAUUAGCAUGGAAUAAUAGAAUAGGACACUUUUCCAUUUCGUUGGUUAUUGGAAUCGUGUAAUGAUUAAUAGGGACAGUUGAGGGCAUUUGUAUUUAAUUGUCAGAGGUGAAAUUCUUGGAUUUAUUAAAGACAAACUAACGCGAAAGCAUUUGCCAAGGAUGUUUUCAUUAAUCAAGAACGAAAGUUAGGGGAUCAAAGACGAUCAGAUACCGUACUAGUCUUAACUAUAAACUAUCCCGACUCAAUGUUUGACUGGCUUAUAUAACCAGUUGAGCGUUGUAUGAGAAAUCAAAGUCUUUAGGUUCUGGGGGGAGUAUGGUUGCAAAGCUGAAACUUAAAGGAAUUGACGGAAGAGCACAACCAGGAGUGGAUUCUGCGGCUUAAUUUGACUCAACACGGGGAAACUUACCAGGUUAAAACAAUAGUGGGAUUGACAGUUUGAGAGCGCUUUCUUGAUUGGUUGGGUGGUGGUGCAUGGCCGUUCUUAGUUGGUGGAGUGAUUUGUCUGCUUAAUUGCGUUAACGAACGAGACCUUAACCUGCUUACUAGACUGGCGAUCAUCAAUCGUUAGCUCUUCUUAGAGGGACUUUGGUUGUUUUAACUCCA
rnacentral:rRNA from 1 species